UACGGAGGAUCCGAGCGUUAUCCGGAUUUAUUGGGGUUUAAAGGGUGCGUAGGCGGCCUAUUAAGUCAGGGGUGAAAGACGGUAGCUUAACUAUCGCAGUGCCUUUGAUACUGAUAGGCUUGAAUGUACUUGAGGUAGGCGGAAUGUGACAAGUAGCGGUGAAAUGCAUAGAUAUGUCACAGAACACCAAUUGCGAAGGCAGCUUACUAAAGUAUGAUUGACGCUGAGGCACGAAAGCGUGGGGAUCAAACAGG
rnacentral:rRNA from 1 species